UACGUAGGACCCAAGCGUUAUCCGGAGUGACUGGGCGUAAAGAGUUGCGUAGGUGGUUUGUUAAGUGAAUAGUGAAAUCUGGCGGCUCAACCGUACAGACUAUUAUUCAAACUGGCAAACUCGAGAAUAGCAGAGGUAACUGGAAUUUCUGAAGUAGGGGUAAUAUCCGUAGAUAUCAGAAGGAACACCAAUGGCGUAGGCAGGUUACUGGGCUAUUUCUGACACUGAGGCACGAAAGCGUGGGGAGCGAACCGG
rnacentral:rRNA from 1 species